UACGGAGGGUGCGAGCGUUAUCCGGAUUCACUGGGUUUAAAGGGUGCGUAGGUGGGAAUGUAAGUCAGUGGUGAAAUCUCCGUGCUUAACACGGAAACUGCCAUUGAUACUAUGUUUCUUGAAUUUUCUGGAGGUUAGCGGAAUAUGUCAUGUAGCGGUGAAAUGCUUAGAUAUGACAUAGAACACCGAUUGCGAAGGCAGCUAACUACACAAUCAUUGACUCUGAGGCACGAAAGCGUGGGGAUCAAACAGG
rnacentral:rRNA from 1 species